UACGUAGGGUGCGAGCGUUAAUCGGAAUUACUGGGCGUAAAGCGUGCGCAGGCGGUUCGCUAAGACAGGUGUGAAAUCCCCGGGCUUAACCUGGGAAUGGCGCUUGUGACUGGCGGGCUGGAGUACGGCAGAGGGAGGUGGAAUUCCACGUGUAGCAGUGAAAUGCGUAGAGAUGUGGAGGAACACCGAUGGCGAAGGCAGCCUCCUGGGCCAGUACUGACGCUCAGGUGCGAAAGCGUGGGGAGCAAACAGG
rnacentral:rRNA from 1 species